UUUAUUACAACGGAGAGUUUGAUCCUGGCUCAGGAUGAACGCUAGCGGUAGGCCUAACACAUGCAAGUCGAACGGUAACAUAAGAGCUUGCUCUUGAUGACGAGUGGCG
rnacentral:rRNA from 1 species